AUUCCCCUUGGGCGGGAUUUUCUUUUCUCUUAUUUCACUUCACACCGUCGCUCUCUCUCUCUUCAAUCAUUCCAACCUUGCCAAUUACACGCUCUCACAAACCCUAAAUCUAUCCAAUCGGCGGCUGUUCCGAGCUCAAUCUUUCUCUCCCCGUCUUCGAAUACCUCGGCUAAGCAACUGUUCCGAGGAAGCCCGUCGUUGCCGGCGGUCUUUUGACGCUGUAUCUGGCGGCAACGGCUAUUCGAAUUUCCGCCGGUUGAAAUCAAAGCAAACGACGUCUGUGUUAAAGUGCUCGCGUCUCCCUUCAACCUGUCCGAUAUUAACAGAAUUGAAGGUUUGUAUUUUAAUCUAUUAAUCUGUUAUUUGGUUGUUAGAUGUUUGUUGUUAGCAUAUGUUGUUGUUGUAUGAAAUUCAAGUUGAUCACCAUUCAGGCAACUAGAUUCUUUAUCUCAUCAUUUACAUGUACUCCACGUGUUUGUGGAAAUGUCUAUGUGAACAAAGACACAGCAAUGUUGAGGUAUGUACACUUAUUCAUACUUUUUCUUUUUCGAUUCGUUAGGCUGUAGUGAUUUCAGUUUGUAUAUUGCAUUAUAUCGUUAUGUGCACUUGAAGGUACCGCCUUUGGGUCCUUUUUGGCGCACACCAUUUAGGGGUUUCAAUUCUUUCAAGAAUAGUUACCUCCUUGUGGACUCUCUCAUGAUGGGUAAAUGUUUUGUACUUUUAUUUGGUGGUUCAUUUUUGUUCAUGUUAUAUGUAAUGGGUUGUUGUCAAUUGUUGUUGAUUUGUGUUGAUUCUUGUGAUUUGAGGGUUAUUAUGAUGAAUUGGAUCUGGGUUGUUCAAGAUUUGUUGUGAAUGUUGAUAGCUUUUUUAGAUCUAGGUUAUUAAGAGGUUGAUUUUAAAGAUUUGCUUGAUUUUGUUGAGUGUGAUAGUUUGAUGGGUUUUUUGAUUUAUAAUGUGUAGGUAGAGGUGCACAAAAUAACCGGUUAUUAACUGAAACUGUAGCGGGUUAAUAGUUGAUCGAGGAGUAAUCGAUUAGUGGAUGUUUUUAACCGUAGGUUAAAGUGAAUAACCAAACCAGUUAAAGCAAUAUCCAGCUAGCAAAAAUGUGAAAACAAACGGCGGAUGAAAUUGAGCUUGAUCUUGCGGUUCUUGAUAAUGAGACGAUGUGGAAGCUGCACAGUUUCAUCGGUAGCGUGGCCAAAAAGGAGGCUGCAGCGACUUGUAACAUGGUUUUUUCUGUACAGACUGAAAAUGUGGAAGAACAGUUUAGGUAAAAGGAUGCUGGAGAAUAAUAUGUGGAUAUUGUUUGAAGGCGGAAAGGCACUUAAAAAACGAAGGCUUUUAUAAGCGAGGUUUAUAGUAUAAAAAGACAGUUUUAGGUUGAUUCAGGAUUGUUUAGGACGGGUAUAAUGGUGUCGGACCUGUUCAAGCCGUUGAAGACGGCUUCAUAUAAGGUAGGAUUCGGUGGUUUCGGUUUUCUUUUUGCGCCGGUGUUGGAGUCUGGAAGACCUAGCUGCUGCUUCUGGCAAUGGCGGCUACAGUUCUGGUGAAUGAAAAAUGAAAAAAAAAUACAGGUGGACAUUAUCUUCAUUUUACCUCAGCCAUUAAACAGUUGGGUUUGGAGUUUACUGCUGAUGACAUAUGACUUGAAUAUUUGAAAGAAAAAGGUGCUUUCUUAAAAAACAAAGACAAUCACCUAUUUGGAUGCAGAGCAAGAACAUGCGCAGGUGGUCGAAAAUGGAAGAUGCGGAAAUAUCAACCCUGAGGUUAGAGGGAACUAUACCACCGGUAUAAGUACAUGUUGUACGCAGGUGGAUUCCAUCUUAUAUGGAUCACGAGACACACUACGUGCUGGGCCGCUGGUCAACCGAGAGGUUUUCUUAGGCGGCAUGGUUGAGUGGUUCAUGGCUUCAAAAACAUAUCAUAAACUUCAUUCGGCGGGGUUUACGGAGACAUUCGACAACCAGGGCUUCUAAGAUUCCGGAGCUUAAGAGGGGCUUGUGUCAGAUCACAAUCUAAGUGAUGCUGCUAAAAAUUGGAGUAAUGCACUACCCUUCUGUUGCAUUGCAUUCUAUCAAAUGUGAUUAGAAUCAAUCAAAAAGUUUAAAAGGUAUAUGCAGGGAUGGGCACUUCUUACGAAUACCGGUACUGUACCGAUAAUUUACCGAUUUCGGAUUUCGGUGUUACAAGGACUGAUGUUGGAACUUAUUGCUAUAAGCAAGCGAGCAUAAUUUUAUCCAGACGAAUAAAGCUUCGAUGUUGGAUGAAGUGAUAGAUUAUUUAAAGAAGCUACAAACACAAGUGAAGUUAAUGAAUAGCAUGUCAAUUCCACCACCACAAAUGAUGAUACCAGUACCCCUACAAUUGCAACAACAAGAAAACCACCUUCACAUGUCAAUGCUAGCCCAAAUGGGAAUGGGAUAAGGCUUUCAGAUGGGCAUGCAGUAUGCCCCUGCCACUGUAUGAUACUCUACAGUUGAGGCCAACCAUUGACCAUUGUCUUUUAGUUGAAACAAUGUCAGUAAAGGGAAGACAGCCACUUGCCAGCGAGGGAUCUCUGUGUCAUCAGCAUUCAUCGACGUCGAUCAGUUUUGGGUUGCAUGUACCAACUACCAACCCUAAUCCCAAUUGUUUAUACGGGUUUCUUUCCACCUAAUUACACCAUAUGUCUUGCGCUCCUAAUACCUCCCACCUACUUACACCGUGCUUAUGCUAAUUCUGGUUCCUUCAGCCUCUUCAACGUGCGUCUACAAAGAUGUAGGCAUUGCUGUUGGAAUGUAAUGUUAAUGUCAGAAUCACGAAAACAUUUAUUUUGAGAAUUCGGCUCCUGAGGUGUUUUUUUAGAAACAUUCCCAUAUCCUAAUUGAUACGUGCUGAUAGCCGUGAGUGGGGAUUUAAGCCAACAAUGGACCUGGGAGAAUUUGUGAACUAAGUGGACCAACUCAGAGAUUCCGUUCGUUAGAUAAUGCUGUUGGUUUACUAAAACUGUAUGUAGAAGGUUUUGUAUUUCAAAUUGUCGUUGUAAUCUAUUAUAUUGGUUUGUGUUUUAACGUGUAUAAAAUCAUAAUAUUUAUGUCAAUGGUGAUAAUAAAGAUAUUUUCUUUUACCAACCCGCAAAGUUUGCGGGUUCUUAAGCUAGUCUAUAUAUAUAUAUAAACAUGAUAAAUAAGGGCUGAUGUGUCAUGAUAUAAGGGCUUGGAAAAUGAUGUGGCAUCACCAUAGCACUCUAGAAUUUGGUUUUGGCUCCAAAAUUUCGGGUCUUUUUUUCUUUAUAUGGGCAGACAAGGGAUCCGGAUUUUGACCCGGGUAUAUAUUGUUUCUAAACUCACGGCUUCUUCCCCACCACACAAACCCUAAUUUCAUUUUCAAUUAGAUUCCUCUCUGCCGUUUCUUCUCUACCUCUCUAUUACGCUUCUGCAUCUCUAUCUCAAAUCAAUGACAAGAUUUCAUCUUCUUCCCUAAGAUUCAUCGGUUUUCAUCUCUCAAUUUAGGGUUUCGACUAUAUAUUUCUUAUAAUCCGAAGAACACACAACCUUCAUUCGCAUCUAGGGUUUCUGUUUCUUCCAUCAUACAUCUCCUUCUCAUCAUCCCUAAAUCUCAUUCCUGAAAGAUCAUCAAUACCAAGAUCAUAGGUACGAAUCGCUCCUCACCUCUAAAGUCGGCAUCCGCUUGGUUUUACGAUAAAGGUGAAACCGUCUUGAAUAGCUCAGUUAAUCGGCAUUAACUAAUAGCCCUGUGCCCCAUAAUUGAACAAGCCUCCAAGCAUUGGCUAAUGGAGAAGGGUGUCGGGUUUAUGGAGUGUUGGAUGUUCAAAGAGUUGCUGGAAACUUCCAUAUUUCAGUUCAUGGUUUGAACAUAUAUGUUGCACAGAUGAUUUUUGAAGGAGCUACACAUGUUAAUGUCAGCCAUGUGAUUCAUGAUUUGUCGUUAUGUCCAUGGCUGCAGAUAGAUAAUACGAUUUUGUACAAGUGGAUGUCACUCAUGUUUGUUAUUGAGCUUUUACCGUUCUGGAUUUGAAAUUGAUAGGAGAAUCGAAGAUAUUGCAAGAUACUAAUUUUAACAGGUUCAUCGUCUUUUGUUUUUUUCGGCUAGCAAAGUGGUGAUGAUGUCGAGAAGUAGGAGAGAAUUUGUGAUGGACUGAUUCGUAUAUAUGAUCUAUGGUUUUUGCGAAAGAUAUGGUGAGAUUGUUGAUGUGAACCUGGUUAGAGAUAAAGGCACAGGAAAAUCGAAAGUGGUUUGAUUUCAUUUCUCUAGGGUUCUUAAUUAAUAUUAUUCAUGGUUUAACUUUUUUUUAUUUAAAUUGUGCUGAACGGGCUCGAAUUGCUCUUAACAAGAUUCCAGGUAUAUAUGUUCGUCAUUGCUAUUUGCCUGAUGGUUCCAUUCAAGCAGGACAUCUUACAUUUCCAGGCUAACAAGAGAUCUGGGCACUCCAAAUAAGUGAGACAGGCAAGAGUAUUUUCUCGAGCAUUAUCGGGAAGUCAGUAUGCUGGACAUAAAAGGAGCAGAUGCGAAUAAGGUUAUUCUUGUAAUUGGAAUCAUGACGCUUCAUUCUUUUGGGGAAGAAUCUGGAGUCGGGGUGUCUUUUGCUGGCUCAAAAGGGUGUAUGAUCUGGAUAGUUGUUGCUGAGGUUCUCCAAAUCCUUUGAAGAUCGCUGAUGUAAUUUUCGCACUUGGAUCUUUUGUGAUGGCAGCUGCACCCGAUCCAUACAUGUCUAUAUUCGGUCAUUUAUUAGUCGGGCUGGGUGUCGGGAAUUUAAAAUUGAAAUGCUCUUGCUGGGCUCAUUCACAACUGGUGCCAUUUUGUUGGUAGUUAUUUUUUGCCUUCAUGUUCGUUGUGAAGAAUUUUAAAACUAGCAUGAAACAUGAUCAAUAUCUACAGGAUGGACUCUCAGAGAUUAUAUAUUCAGGGCUAUGUUUGAUCCGUAACCAUGUCACUAAUAAACGGGCUAUGUUUAAUAUGUAAUAUGACGCUUUAUUUGUAUUUUGUUAUAUUUUAUUUAUACACAAAUUAUUUAUCUAAAUUACUUUCUCGAGCCCGGGAAACAAUCCCGGGUAUCGACACUAAAGUUUAUAUUAUAUACAUAAACACUUAUAAUUUGGUUGUUUUUUUUUUUUUAGAGGGAACUCAAUUUACUACGGGAAAGGUUUUGGUAACUCGAAGGAUAUGCAUCUUCAAAGGGACUCGACUAUCUUUAAAUUGUGUAUCCACUGUAUCACUAAUUUAUGUAAAUGAGACUUUGUAUUUUAUUUUAUUUGUACACUUAAUAUUUAUCUUAAUAGUUUUCUCCAACCCGGGUAGCACCCGGGUGAUAA